UGGGAUAGAAAUAGGCUGAGUGCCCAGGGCCAGAUCAAUACAAAAAUCAAUAUCCCUGUCAGGAGGCAUACCCGGCAGGUCUGAAGGGAUAACCUCUGGGAACUCUCGAACAAUGGGAACAAAGUCGAUAGAUGGAACCUCUGCGCUAGAGUCGCGAACAUACGCCAAAUAUGAUAAACACCCCUUCUCGGCCAUUCGUCGAGC
rnacentral:lncRNA from 1 species